rnacentral:rRNA from 1 species
CGUAGGUAAUCUAUCCUUGUAUUUGGGAUAACAUCGGGAAACUGAUGCUAAUACCAAAUGGUCUUCAUUUCUGUUAGGGAGAUGGAGUAAAGGUGGCCUCUUCAUGAAAGCUACCGUAUAGGGAUGAGCCUGCGUACCAUUAGCUAGUAGGUGGGGUAAUGGCCCACCUAGGCUACGAUGGUUAGCGGGUCUGAGAGGAUGAUCCGCCACACUGGAACUGAAACACGGACCAG